rnacentral:rRNA from 1 species
UACAGAGGUCCCGAGCGUUGUUCGGAUUCACUGGGCGUAAAGGGUGCGUAGGCGGCUUUGCAAGUCUGAUGUGAAAUCUCCGGGCCCAACCCGGAAAUGGCAUUAGAAACUGUGAGGCUGGAGGCUUGGAGGGGAACUGGAAUACUUGGUGUAGCAGUGAAAUGCGUAGAUAUCAAGUGGAACACCGGUGGCGAAGGCGAGUUCCUGGACAAGACCUGACGCUGAGGCACGAAAGCCGGGGAGGCAAACAGG